AUUGAACGCUGGCGGCAGGCUUAACACAUGCAAGUCGAGCGAGCGGCGGACGGGUGAGUAAUGUCUGGGAAACUGCCUGAUGGAGGGGGAUAACUACUGGAAACGGUAGCUAAUACCGCAUACCAUCAGAUGUGCCCAGAUGGGAUUAGCUAGUAGGUGGGGUUAGUGCUCACCUAGGCGACGAUCCCUAGCUGGUCUUAGAGGAUGACCAGCCACACUGGAACUUGGACACAGUCCAGACUCCUACGGGAGGCAGCAUUGGGAGAUAUUGCACAUGGGGCGCAAGCCUGAUGCAGCCAUGCCGCGUGUGUGAAGAAGGCCUUCAGGUUGUAAAGCACUUUCAGCGAGUAGGCGUUACUCGCAGAAGAAGCACCGGCUAACGCCGUGCCAGCAGCCGCGGUAAUAC
rnacentral:rRNA from 1 species